CCUACGGGAGGCAGCAGUGGGGAAUUUUGGACAAUGGGCGCAAGCCUGAUCCAGCAAUGCCGCGUGAGUGAAGAAGGCCUUCGGGUUGUAAAGCUCUUUUGUCAGGGAAGAAACGGCUGAGGAUAAUACCUUUGGCUAAUGACGGUACCUGAAGAAUAAGCACCGGCUAACUACGUGCCAGCAGCCGCGGUAAUACGUAGGGUGCAAGCGUUAAUCGGAAUUACUGGGCGUAAAGCGUGCGCAGGCGGUUUUGUAAGUCUGACGUGAAAUCCCCGGGCUCAACCUGGGAAUUGCGUUGGAGACUGCAAGGCUGGAGUCUGGCAGAGGGGGGUAGAAUUCCACGUGUAGCAGUGAAAUGCGUAGAGAUGUGGAGGAACACCGAUGGCGAAGGCAGCCCCCUGGGUCAAGACUGACGCUCAUGCACGAAAGCGUGGGGAGCAAACAGGAUUAGAUACCCUGGUAGUCCACGCCCUAAACGAUGUCUACUAGUUGUCGGGUCUUAAUUGACUUGGUAACGCAGCUAACGCGUGAAGUAGACCGCCUGGGGAGUAACGGUCGCAAAGAUUAAAACUUCAAAAGGAAUUGACGGGCNGAGAGNGCCGACGGACGACGACGAGGGGAGGUUAGGAG
rnacentral:rRNA from 1 species